CAGGACUUGACAUCCCUCGCUAUAGGCGGAAACGUCUAGUUCCCUUCGGGGACGAGGAGACAGGUGGUGCACGGUUGUCGUCAGCUCGUGUCGUGAGAUGUUGGGUUAAGUCCCGCAACGAGCGCAACCCCUAUCCUUAGUUGCCAGCGUAAAGACGGGCACUCUAGGGAGACUGCCGGUGUAAACCGGAGGAAGGCGGGGAUGACGUCAAAUCAUCAUGCCCCUUAUGUCCUGGGCUACACACGUGCUACAAUGGGCUGUACAAAGGGAAGCGAUACCGCGAGGAGGAGCAAAUCCCAUAAAACAGCUCUCAGUUCAGAUCGUAGGCUGCAACUCGCCUGCGUGAAGAUGGAGUUGCUAGUAAUCGCCGGUCAGCAUACGGCGGUGAAUGCGUUCCC
rnacentral:rRNA from 1 species